rnacentral:misc_RNA from 1 species
AACGAGUUCUGAAAGGGGUUGUAGCUGGCUUUUCCAGCAUGUGCUCGCCCUGUUCAAUCCACUCUACACCUGUGCACCAACUGUAGGCUUUUGGUGGGCUUGCUUUCCUUGUCCUUUACCGGGCGUUGAGGGCUUGUUAACCUUGGCUUGCGUUUUCAUACAAACCCUGUAAAAAGUAAAAAGAAUGUGUAUUGCGAUAUAACGCAUUUAUAAU